UCAUAUCACCUUGAAACAUUGGUUCCUGUAUGAUCACCGAAGUUAAGCAAUAUCAAGCCUGGUCAGUACCUAGAUGGGUAAUUGCUUGGGGAUACCAAGUGCUGUCAG